ensembl:lncRNA
GUUGUCACAGCUUCAUAAAACCUUGGAGGAGUGUGAGACAGGAGAGCAUAGGGUGCAGUCACUGGAGAGGUUGAUUUUGAAGACAGGAACUCUCACCAGCUCUUCCUACAAAACAUGCUUACUACUUCUGUAUCACUCCAGUGCUAGUAUGGUGUAUUGUUGUAUUAGAUAGACUUACUGUCAAAGUAAGGUAGUGUUGUCUGUAACAGUUCCAGUCUAAAGAGAAGGAAGAGAGGAGAAGAGAGGAGAAGAGGGAAGACGAUAAGCCAGAGGAGAGAGUGGAAAAAGGCAAAGCGAAAUGUAAGACGAGGAAGUAAAACAAGACCUCACAGUCUGCUCAGCUGGCCUUACAUGUUCUUUGAUGGCCUCCCAGUCUCCUGCAGAUGAAACUCAAGUAUAAGUGAAAGGUUAGAUCAUUUUAAUUACAUUUUUUCAUGCAUAGAAAGAAGCGGCCAAUUCUUGAAGCCAGGGCAGGCCCUUCCAUUAGGCGCUAUAGGCAAAUGCUAGGGGCGCUCGUGUGCAUGUGUUUUUUUUGUUUUUUUUUUUACAAAUGAGCAAUUAAUAAAUAUGAAAACAUGCAAAGUCCACGUAAUCAUAACUUCAUUGUUUAAUAAUAUUAGUCAAAUUAAUAAUUAUUAUAAUAACAACACACAACACCUAUCACCUCUGCACACCUCGUUACUGUUUCUCUGUGAGGAAAAAGACAACGCCACAGAGUGAGUGACAUCUCCCCGUAAAGAUGUCUAAAAGGCAGAAGUCCUCUGGUGCCCAGGGCAGAAAAAGGAGAAAAGAGGAGGAAGAAAGGUGGCGAACAGAGAAAACAAACUGUCCAGCCUAUGACCAGCUGCUGGUAAUCCCUUCCUUGUUGCCGGAACCGUUGAAAAACCUCAGACACAGGUAGAAGUACAAAAUCAAGUGAGGUGUCUGAAGGUUGAAUGUUGAUGGGCCACAGUUUUAUAGCUGCUCAGCCAGAUUUCUCCUCUGAUGACCUCCCAGUCUUCUGCUUUGAUGGUCUCCCCAGUCUCCAGCUCAACCAGACUCCCUGUCUUUCAUCCUACAUUGGGUCUCAUCAGCUACAGCUCCAUCCUAUUUCUGCCUACUCAAAGUUCCAAACACCUUUUUCUUCUUCAUUGUACAUUUCUCAAAUGCAUUUUUAAAACUUCCUCAGUGUUUACAGUUCUCUGCUAUUCCUUGUGUUUUGGUCCUUGCUCUGUUUUCUUGGUUUUAGAUUAUGGAUUUCUCUUGUCUGCCUGCCUACCUGUGUACAGACCUCUGCCUGUGCCCAUGAUGAAGAGUACUGGAAGCCCUCACAUGUGGGCUGCCUACACAGAUCCAGCACCAGUCUGA